AGCACUUCUCCUUGCUGCUGCCACGUGAA
rnacentral:piRNA from 1 species